GUAUUUCCUUCUUUGCUCGUGAUAAAGUGUGUGUACUCACAUCAGGAGGGGGACGGAGGCGCGCCCUUCACAGGCUCAGCCCACCGAUGGCACCCCUGGGACACUCCCCGCGUGUGUGCUCAGUGUCGACGAGGCCCUAGGGAGCCGGAGAAUGCCGGGCAGAGCAGCGCAUGGUCCUUGAUGGCUGACAGGAGCAGCGGCGUCCACGGGGCGUCAAGGAUGCGGUUGGUGGUGCAGAGGAGAAGGUGGGGGCCCCACCCCAGGAAGUGUCUAGAGACAAAAUGGAGAGAUGGAACACGUUUUGAGGUUCUUGUCCCUGCAGGUGAUGUCUGUCUUUCCUUCAGUCCACGUGGGCUGCUGGGUCCAGGGACCUGGCACAGUUAUUGCUGAGCCUGGUAGGGCCAAAUGGAGUGAUGAAGUUCACCGGGAAGACACCUCGCCCAGGCUGUGGCCCUUGGGCGGCGCUUAGAGGAGGAGGGUUCGUCUGUCUCUCCAGCUUUCCGCUGCCGUUCCCAGUGGGCUUGCUGAUGUGGAAAGGGCUGGAACUCUCUGGCAUUCCUCCCAGGGCAUCGUGGCCUUGGCUGCCCCCGGCCCUUCCUCGGCAGGCCUUUGGGCCCAGCUUGCUCUUCCAGCUGGGUGAAGGUGGAUGUCCUUUGGCCCAGGCGUGUGGCUCUCAGGCUGUGGGCUUGAGGCCGAGAGCCGAGAAUGCUCAGGUCCGUGAAGCCCGUGCCCUCCCCCCUGUUCUGCAGACGUCUCUUCUGAGCUCAUCUUGAAGAUGCAGCGGUGUGAAGGGAGCUGAAAUCCGCUGGGACAGAUAUUCAUAUCCCCUCUCCCCUCCAAGUCCCUGGCCCUCAGUGUUUAUAACAAAGGGUGUAAAAGGG